AAGUCGUAACAAGGUUUCCGUAGGUGAACCUGCGGAAGGAUCAUUAACACAUCCAACGUUAAAACAACCCCCGUGAACUUUCAGCUUGCUCCUGUAGCCCGUGAAAACAGCAAUCCCUGGUAAAUCAUUGUUGACCAGCUUUGACCUCUGCAAUCAGUGUCUGAAAGUGUCAUUGAUUAUGUAAAGGAUGGCGCAGUCACGAUCGCUCUGCCCCUUUACGACAACACAGUACGAAUUGGCCGCGCGUGAAAUUCGCAGGCACCAAAAACCGAACACCUGUUAACAAUGGAUAUCUUGGUUCUC
rnacentral:misc_RNA from 1 species